ensembl:snRNA LOC120095361 U6 spliceosomal RNA
GUGCUCACUUGGGCAGCACAGAUACCAAAAUUAGAACAAUGCAGAGAUUAGCAUGGCCCCUGUGCAAGGAUGACACUCAAAUUCAUGCAGCUUCCAUAUUUUAA